GGGCCCGCACAAGCGGAGGAACAUGUGGUUUAAUUCGAUGAUACGCGAGGAACCUUACCCGGGCUCGAACGGCUAAUGAAUGUACUGGAAACAGUACAGUCUUCGGACAUUAGUCGAGGUGCUGCAUGGUUGUCGUCAGCUCGUGCCGUGAGGUGUCGGCUUAAGUGCCAUAACGAGCGCAACCCUUAUCUUUAGUUACCAUCAGGUCAAGCUGGGGACUCUGAAGAGACUGCCACCGUAAGGUGUGAGGAAGGUGGGGAUGACGUCAAAUCAGCACGGCCCUUACGUCCGGGGCGACACACGUGUUACAAUGGGUGGGACAGCAGGUUGCUACCUGGUGACAGGAUGGCUAAUCCAUGAAACCCACUCCCAGUUCGGAUCGAAGUCUGCAACCCGACUUCGUGAAGCUGGAUUCGCUAGUAAUCGCGCAUCAGCCAUGGCG
rnacentral:rRNA from 1 species